rnacentral:rRNA from 1 species
UACGUAGGGUGCAAGCGUUGUCCGGAAUUAUUGGGCGUAAAGAGCUUGUAGGCGGUUUGUCGCGUCUGCUGUGAAAUUUCGGGGCUCAACCCCGAACUUGCGGUGGGUACGGGCAGACUAGAGUGUGGUAGGGGAGACUGGAAUUCCUGGUGUAGCGGUGAAAUGCGCAGAUAUCAGGAGGAACACCGAUGGCGAAGGCAGGUCUCUGGGCAUUAACUGACGCUGAGGAGCGAAAGCAUGGGGAGCGAACAGG